GAGGAAUUGGGCCACAGACAAGUUCUUGUGCCCACAAUGCUAUCUGCAGCCGAGUGGUCCGGUCACCACUGAGUUCUGGUGGAAGGGUGAAGCUCAUCUUGGUGUCGGGGACCACUCUAUGCGCGAGGCUACACGCUACAUCGAACAUCUGCAGUUUGAUCAUCACACCGGCGUUUCCAGUCCAACAGUGCUAUUUCUUGACCACCAACUGAGAGAUUUGGCCUAUGUCCAGUGGCAAAGGGCUGUAAGGUUUCCCCCCAUUGUUGCACGGGGGCCACCAGGUGUUGAUGGUUUGGAUGGGAUUGAUGGCGUGGAUGGUGUGGAUGGUAGGGCA